UAAAAUGGUAUAAUAAUAAAAAAAAAUGGAGAUCAAGGUGGUUACUAAAAAAGAUAUUCCCUUUAUAUAUACUAGUGGAGUCAAGGCACUUCGUGUCUCUAUUAAAAAUAAAAUAAAAAAUUAGCAACCCUAAUGCAUGAAUUUUAGAAAAAGGAAAGUUUCUCAGUAUAUUUAUUCAUAUGUUUUCUUGUGAGCAUUAUGUAUCAUUGUAUCAAGGGUGUCUCAAUGCCCCUCAACUUUUUAUGGGGGUAGGAUUCUAUCAUAAAAAGAAAUGCUGGGCAUAAUGUUCAUUUGCUCUUAACAAAUAUCCUUAUAAUUUUCUUUUCGUGAUUUUUUUUUUCAUAUAAUGCUUUUUAGAGCCUGCAAGAUGCAAUUAUACCUUUUCAGAUUUUAGGGGGUGAAGCUCAAGUGGUUCAGAUAAUGUUGAAGCCACAAGAAAAAAUCAUUGCAAAGCCUGGUAAUUUGUUAGAUGUUAGACACUUCAAAUGAAAAUUUUGUGCUAUCAUUUUGAAUUGUAAACAUCAAUUAUAUGCUUUAAUUAGUUAAUAUGAACUGAUCUAAACAUGAUUUUUAUAGAUAAUAAUCAAUAUUACAACAUGAGGGUUGUAGCCUUGUGACUUGGAUGUCAUGGGUUCAAAUUGUGGAAACACCUCCCUGCUUGUGGGUGCAUGGCUGUAUAUACCCCCCCCCCCA